UCGGGAAUUUUGGGCAAUGGGCGAAAGCCUGACCCAGCAACGCCGCGUGAAGGAUGAAGUAUUUCGGUAUGUAAACUUCGUAAGAAUAGGAAGAAUAAAUGACGGUACUAUUUGUAAGGUCCGGCUAACUACGUGCCAGCAGCCGCGGUAAUACGUAGGGACCAAGCGUUGUUCGGAUUUACUGGGCGUAAAGGGCGCGUAGGCGGUGUGUCAAGUCAGUUGUGAAAUCUCCGAGCUUAACUCGGAACGGUCAACUGAUACUGUCACACUAGAGUACAGAAGGGGCAAUCGGAAUUCUUGGUGUAGCGGUGAAAUGCGUAGAUAUCAAGAGGAACACCUGAGGCGAAGGCGGGUUGCUAGGCUGAUACUGACGCUGAGGCGCGAAAGCUAGGGUAGCAAACGGGAUUAGAUACCCAAGUAGUCCCUGAGCGGGCUGGCAAGGCGCAU
rnacentral:rRNA from 1 species